rnacentral:rRNA from 1 species
CGGACGGGUGAGUAAUGCCUAGGAAUCUGCCUGGUAGUGGGGGAUAACGUCCGGAAACGGGCGCUAAUACCGCAUACGUCCUACGGGAGAAAGCAGGGGACCUUCGGGCCUUGCGCUAUCAGAUGAGCCUAGGUCGGAUUAGCUAGUUGGUGAGGUAAUGGCUCACCAAGGCGACGAUCCGUAACUGGUCUGAGAGGAUGAUCAGUCACACUGGAACUGAGACACGGUCCAGACUCCUACGGGAGGCAGCAGUGGGGAAUAUUGGACAAUGGGCGAAAGCCUGAUCCAGCCAUGCCGCGUGUGUGAAGAAGGUCUUCGGAUUGUAAAGCACUUUAAGUUGGGAGGAAGGGCAGUAAGUUAAUACCUUGCUGUUUUGACGUUACCGACAGAAUAAGCACCGGCUAACUUCGUGCCAGCAGCCGCGGUAAUACGAAGGGUGCAAGCGUUAAUCGGAAUUACUGGGCGUAAAGCGCGCGUAGGUGGUUCGUUAAGUUGGAUGUG